rnacentral:rRNA from 1 species
UACGGAAGGCAGCAGUGGGGAAUAUUGCACAAUGGGCGAAAGCCUGAUGCAGCUAUGCCGCGUGUAUGAAGAAGGCCUUAGGGUUGUAAAGUACUUUCAUCGGGGAGGAAAAAACAAAACUAAUAAUUUUAUUUCUUGACGUUACCCGAAAAAGAAGCACCGGCUAACUCCGUGCCAGCAGCCGCGGUAAUACGGAGGGUGCUAGCGUUAAUCAGAAUUACUGGGCGUAAAGAGCACGUAGGUGGUUUUUUAAGUCAGAUGUGAAUCCCUGGGCUUAACCUAGGAACUGCAUUUGAAACUGAAAUACUAGAGUAUCGUAGAGGGAGGUAGAAUUCUAGGUGUAGCGGUGAAAUGCGUAGAUAUCUGGAGGAAUACCUGUGGCGAAAGCGGCCUCCUAAACGAAUACUGACACUGAGGUGCGAAAGCGUGGGGAGCAAACAGGGAUUAGAUACC